AUCGUUUCUUGGCCUCUUGGCUAAGAUGAAGUGCAGAUCUGUUCUUAUCAGUUUAAUAAACUAACACUAUGCAGUACUAAUCUAACCUAUGGCUUUCUUUUAUUUUUCUAAUCCUU
rfam:Nomascus leucogenys chromosome 2, whole genome shotgun sequence.